GCGGUGACUCAAACAAUGCAAGCGAAAAGUGGCUUUGAAGACAGUGUCUUAAGGUGAACAAAUAUGUUCUACAAGCAGUAUCAGGUCAGCAUGGCACUGAAAUUCCUUGGGCUCCCAGAGAGUUUAAGGCUUCAAUGAAGAGAGGAGAUUUAUUUUACACCGAAGAGAAAGACUAACCUUGAGAUUCUUCCAAGUGCUAGAUAGAAGUCCAUGCCUUC
rnacentral:lncRNA from 1 species